rnacentral:rRNA from 1 species
GUUGGGUUCAGUCCCGCAACGAGCGCAACCCUCGCCCUUUGUUGCCAUCGGGUAAAGCCGGGCACUCUAAGGGGACUGCCAGCGACAAGUUGGAGGAAGGAGAGGAUGACGUCAAGUCAUCAUGGCCUUUAUGCCUAGGGCCACACACGUGCAACAAUGGCCGGUACAGACGGAGGCAAUGCCGAGAGGCGGAGCAAACCCGAGAAAACCGGUCCCAGUUCGGAUUGAGGUCUGCAACUCGACCUCAUGAAGUCGGAAUCGCUAGUAAUCGCAUAUCAGAACGAUGCGGUGAAUACGUUCCCGGGCCUUGUACACACCGCCCGUCACACCACGAAAGUUUGUUGUACCCGAAGUCGGUGCCUUAACCUCGCAAGAGGAGAGAGCCGCCCAAGGUAUGGCCGAUGAUUGGGGUGAAGUCGUAACAAGGUAGCCGUAGGGGAACCUGCGGCUGGAUCACCUCCUUUCUAGGAGAGAAGGGUCCUGGAUG